rnacentral:rRNA from 1 species
UACGUAGGUGGCAAGCGUUGUCCGGAUUUACUGGGUGUAAAGGGCGUGUAGGCGGGAUUGCAAGUCAGGCGUGAAAACCAGAGGCUCAACCUCUGGCCUGCGUUUGAAACUGUUUUUCUUGAGUACUGGAGAGGUUGGCGGAAUUCCUAGUGUAGCGGUGAAAUGCGUAGAUAUUAGGAGGAACACCAGUGGCGAAGGCGGCCAACUGGACAGCAACUGACGCUGAGGCGCGAAAGCGUGGGGAGCAAACAGG